rnacentral:pre_miRNA from 2 species
GUUGAGGGGAACGUUGUCUGGUUCGAGAUCAUUCAUAAAUAGUUUCAGUCUUUGACAGAACUCUCAUGAAUGAUUUCGGACCAGGCUUCGUUCCCCUCAGC